rnacentral:rRNA from 1 species
AACGAACGCUGGCGGCAUGCCUAACACAUGCAAGUCGAACGAGACCUUCGGGUCUAGUGGCGCACGGGUGCGUAACGCGUGGGAACCUGCCCUUAGGUUCGGAAUAACUCCCCGAAAGGGGUGCUAAUACCGGAUAAUGUCUUCGGACCAAAGGUUUAUCGCCUUUGGAUGGGCCCGCGUUGGAUUAGCUAGUUGGUAGGGUAAAAGCCUACCAAGGCGACGAUCCAUAGCUGGUCUGAGAGGAUGAUCAGCCACACUGGGACUGAGACACGGCCCAGACUCCUACGGGAGGCAGCAGUGGGGAAUAUUGGACAAUGGGCGAAAGCCUGAUCCAGCAAUGCCGGGUGAGUGAUGAAGGCCUUAGGGUUGUAAAGCUCUUUUACCCGGGAUGAUAAUGACAGUACCGGGAGAAUAAGCUCCGGCUAACUCCGUG